rnacentral:lncRNA from 1 species
CCGCCCACAGGAAUCACUGUCAAGCACAUCAGGUAGGAGCACAUCUUCUUAAUUAAUGACCAUUUCGAAUUUUAUAUCAUUCACAACCAUACACGUUUUAUACGUGAUAAUUUGGAGGGGAAAAAACAUACCAAGACAAGAACAUGAGGAGUAUUCAAUUUGCAUUUUUCUCAUAUAUCACGAGGUAUCACUGUUUUUUAUAUAAAAUUCGAUGUCUUUUAUUAUCUAAGAUAUCAAAAGAUACUAAAUUUUACUGCCUCCUGCUAUCUUAAUUAUACUUAUACUAUAGUAGAUGAUUAAAAAACUGUCCCUACGGUCAAUACGAUAAGGUUUUUUGGAUCUACUUAGACUAAUCCAUAUAUCAAUGUAUACGUGUGUAGAUUAAUUAAUAGGCAAAAAAAUCUUAUAAUAAUAUGAAACAUAUAUAUAAAAGUUUUAUUCGUAAGUUAUUUUCCGACUACGCCUGAAUUUCGCUUCUACUGUGUGUGAAGGACCGGCGAGGAUGUGGCGCUGUCGAGGCGAGUCGUGGCAACCUUCCUUCUGAUGACAAUGGCGGACUUCAGUGACCAGCUGUUCGACUGGCAGGACCGCCUCUUCAACAACAGCAAUGGCCACCUCGAGUUCAGUGGCAACAGCUGGGCGUCGCUCUGGCCAGGCACCGGCAAGCCCGGCCUCUGGACCACCUCCAUCUCCCGCAUGGGCGCGCUCUACACCCUCAUCGUUCGCGAGGAAGAGAUAUACAUCGCUCACCGGCAGCAGAGCAGCAGCCUCGGCCGCCAAGAAGGCGACGGCCGUGACGAGGACAUCGAGCUGGUUAUCCCGCCGGUGUUCAACGGCUGCACCGAGGUGGUCAGCGCCGACGACCAGAAGGCGGCACGGGACCUCUACUGGGAGGCAGUCUGCAGCGGCGGCGACGGCGAGGAUGAGACGGAGACGGAUUGGCGCAGAGUGGAGGAGCUCCUGCGGCAGAGCAUUGGCAAGAACCCGUUCGUGGGAGAGCCUCGCGUGGUUCUUGGGCAGGUUCUGCUCAACAUGGAGAUGUACGAGGAGGCAGAGGAGCAGGUGGAGGCGGGGCUGGAGCUGCUGCUGGAGUGGGGGAGCAGCUGGGACAAGAGAAUGCCAUGGGAAGCUUGGGUGUCAUGGGGCAGGGCGAUGCUGACCAAGGCCAAGGACAAGGAUUGGCCGCACACCUCCUUCGGCAUCCUCAGCCUAGGCCUUGUCAAGUGAUCGAUCACCUCGGAUUCAUAUGUAUAUGUGCUGAUGCAGGUGCUGCCAUGGCUUCUUCUUCCAUCCUGUGUACCAAAACUACUGCAGAGUAUUUCUGUCUGUUCCUUCUUUCCUUCCUUCCUUCCUGUCAGUCUCUGGUGGUUAAGCUGCAGGUGCAAAUGUCAGAACACCAUUUGAUAUGCUACCCUCUAAGCAAUUACCAUGUGCAUAGCUCUAUUGACAUGGAAUAUUGUAGACAUACGGUGGAUAUGGAAUAAAUUAUGUUUCCUACUGAUGAUACGCAUUGGCAACAGCCUUUUUCCUACCGACAAACAUUUGUAACAAAGCACCAAUACCGCAAAAUAUUUUGCAUCUACUAGAUACUAAUAUGGUAGUAGUGCAUUGCACAUUUGCUUGUAGUAUUAAUCAAAUUUUAGUGUCACUGGGUUGGGCUGUGUGUUAAUUGUGGUAUCUAAAAUUGGUUCCGUUGAUGAUAAUUACUCGAGCAAUUUUACAGUUCUUGACUAGGUAUCAAGAGAUAAAUUUUGAUACCUCUUAGUACCUAAGGUACCUAAAUUUACAUAGAAAAAAAUGAUACUUAAGAACUGUAAAAUUGCUCUAAUUACUCGUAUAGACGGUUUGAUCUUCACCAUAAAUAGUUGCGGUGAAUAUAUAACUUACACUCGAUGAACUGCACCAAUGAGAUGAAUUUUACUAGCUAGACGUCUUUGUUAAACUCGAUCGUUUUAAUAUCGUGCAAUUACCAUUGGUUGAGGGGGGUAAGGUUGUUUUUUUUUUUUGUUAAAGUAGUAUAGAACAGUGAAAAUGUGUGUCCAAAGGCUUGGCCAUUCCCUAGCUACACGUAUGAGAAAACUGAAGGCUAGUUGCUACUGCUACUUGCCUCCAUGGAUUCUGUAACUCUCAUUCAGACGUGCAUAUAGUACAGGAUGUGUUGAACUUGAAAAGUUAUGGGUGAUCGAGGCGUGUUGCAUUGAUUGUUGGGUGAUCAAGUUUGAUGUUAAUUUACAUCAGUUGCCAAGCUAGCACUGCUGGAAUCCAAAUGCGUUGGUAUGUAUGUAUGCACACCAGGCAGGCUAAAGCGGUGCAUCUUUGCUGCUGCCUAUACUAUCUAUGAAUGCUCAAAGUUGGAGAGUAGGCAAAUACAUGCAUGCAUCAUCUGUAUUGGCAUAAUGCAUAUGGACAAGAUCUCAAGCUUCACCAUCAAACUAGCUAGCUAAUAGCUUUUGCUUGCGUGAUCGAUCGAUCUAUCGACACAUAAUGCAUAUGUUAUUAUCAUUUAUUUCGUUAUGAUUUAUUUUGUUAUUACAAGAAUUUUAAACAUAACAUAUAUUUUUAAUAAGAUAAACGAUCAAGCUUAAAAACAAACAAUAGAUUAAGACACUGUAAACCAGAGGGGGUACCAAACAACGACGUGUACUUUUAGUCUCCGUUAUUACAAGUUUUCAUAGAGAACGUACUUGAAAUGAGUGAGUAAAUAGGUAGUAUGUGAACAUGCAUUCGAGGAGCGGUACUGCAGCAAGGUGCGACGGGUCUGCAUGUACUGGGCCUGCGUGGGUCUACUUUCCCGCCUAAUUGUGCUUUCGGCUCCACAGCAAGCAACCAAAGCAACCAGAAUCAAUGCAACCACUAAUCAAUCUACCUUACCACUAUAUAAUCUAAAUUUCAUACAUUUCUUUGCACUCCGAAUUAACGUCACAAUUUUUAGGGCUUCAGAACGGUAGUGGUGUUCAUGUCCGUCAUCUAUUAAUAACAUAAAAAAUAUUAAAGAUAAUGCUUUGGACCUGCCCUGCCACCAGGAUGCAAGUUAGAUGCUCCAAAAUUUAGAUCGGAUGGAACUGGAGGUUGGGAGGCAAUCUAGGCAGGCCAAAUCGGGUCUCCAUCCAUCAAUCCAAUUCAUUCAUAUUGGCCCAUUCACAAUGAAAAAAUGCUGUUCGAUACUGUAGGUAUAUAUAUGGGGAGCACACCUGUUUUUUCUUUAAUUUCCUUAAUUGUUGUUUAAUGCUAGUAAUUAGCUCUUGUUGGAAUCCGAUUCCGAGAUUUUUCAUAUGAUGCAAAUUAACAAUGGUGCCUGCAGCACGCAUAUGUAGAUGCAAUCAGGAUUUCUCUUAAAAGCUGGUAAUCGCGGCAAGCGUGUUUACCGCUGAGAAACUGUUCUGCUAUUAAUAUUUUAAAUGUUAUUAGAUGAUAAAAUAUAAAUAAUACUUUGCAUGGCUAAUUUUUUUAAAAAAAAUUUACAAAUCUUUCAAAUAAGAUGGAUAAUCAAAUGCUGGACACAGAAACCGGAGACAGUAUCUUGGUAAAAUGUGUCUGGUUUUGCUAGUUGUUGAUGUGGUCUCUGCAGCCGUCAUCAGCUAUGGCGGUAGUACUACCCAAGUUUGGGAGCACCGUCACCUUAAAUUGUCAUAGUCAUGGUGUACAUGAAGCAAACAAGGAUCAUGCACAUCAUUCGUCAAUCAGUCAUCGAUAUGAAAAGCUUAACGCAUUUUCUGGCCUCCUGCAGAAGCAUGGAGUAUGAAAUGAAAGAAAGAAUGGUACUGUGGCCUGCUUUACGCACAGAAGAAAGUCAUCAUGGAGAAAGUAGCAAGUCUGUGUGCAUAGAAAUUAGAGGAGCAGAGCUGAUCAACAAGGUUGUAGUCUGCGUGUCUCCUGCCAAAGUGCAAAGGAGAGACGAAAAGGAGGGGAUGAUGGGGCAGGUAAGCUGGAAAUUUGCGUCACACAUUUCGUCCAAGGUUUGUUACUCCUAUUAUUCAUUUCACACAUCCAUCAUUUGCCACAUACAUGCUCAUCAAAGCAACACUAGUAAAAAAUACUACUAUAUUAUUAUAAUAUUAUUAUUGACAGUAUUAAGUAAAUGAGGCACACAAAUGAUAAUUAAGGGUAAGAAAAUACUACUAGGGCUCAUUUUCACAUGGUCUGUCGUAAUCCUCUAACCCAUGUAAGGGCAUGCAUUAUGCAAGCCACCCUAUCAGAAGAAGGCAAGUGCCACGUAGGAUAGAGCUACACACCCCGCAAUACACAUGGCUUUGAGUGGGUCCCACUUUUUUUAUUAUUCUUUUCCUCACCCCCCUCUCUCUCUUCUCCCCCGGUUCACUCUCUCCCUCCCUCACAUCUCUAGUAUUCUCCUCUCUCUCCCAACGAUGGGAGAUUGCCUGCUCGGCAGAGCUAGUGGCGGCGGCGGCCGCGUCCCCAUGGCGACGAGGUGGAUUUGGAGAGCGGCGGCUCGUCGGGCGAGCAGCGGGUCGGCAGUCGAGGGCGGCNNNNNNNNNNNNNNNNNNNNNNNNNNNNNNNNNNNNNNNNNNNNNNNNNNNNNNNNNNNNNNNNNNNNNNNNNNNNNNNNNNNNNNNNNNNNNNNNNNNNNNNNNNNNNNNNNNNNNNNNNNNNNNNNNNNNNNNNNNNNNNNNNNNNNNNNNNNNNNNNNNNNNNNNNNNNNNNNNNNNNNNNNNNNNNNNNNNNNNNNNNNNNNNNNNNNNNNNNNNNNNNNNNNNNNNNNNNNNNNNNNNNNNNNNNNNNNNNNNAAGCUCGACGCGCGUUCCGGCGACGUCGGCGGAGGUUGACGUGUUCCGGCGACAACGGCGGAGCUCGGCGCGCAUUCCGGCGACGUCGGCGGAGCUCGGCAUGUUCUGACGGCGGAAGGCGGUCUUCUCCUUCAGCUCUGGCGGACCAGAGGUGACUGUCUCCUUUACUCUUCGGUUGCCGAGAAAACUGACAAAAAGCUUGACAAAAGCCUGCGAGGCAUGCGAGAAGCUUGCCUGGGGGACGGUUCUCUCCUAGCUGGAGGGGAAUCUGGCUGAGGCUCCUUUGACACACCACCGCUGUGUAUGGCCUAAGUGAUGUGCUGAAAGAAAGAGACCUGCUGCAGCAGAGCUUGCAAGUGUUGGGUCCAGACCAGAAACGAGACGAGGGAGGCAGAGCCAGACUUGCUGCUGCCAACACAGUCCAAGUCAAUUCAAUCCUCUUUUUGCGCUAUGCACAUGUCCUGGCUGCUACAAUUUCUGCAAGUAGCAGCAUUUGCCUGGUCUGAUUGGCCACCUGCUGCAGAUAUUAUAGGAGUACAUGUCAUCCUUUCCUCUAGUAUAUCCAUAUCCUGCACUCACUCACUCCUCAUACAUGCUAAUAAUAUUAAUGCAACCACGGAAACGAAAGCAACGUCCCCAAGAAAGCGAACGAUCAUUCGAUUCCUCAUCAAGCAUCACAAAUUCACACAAUACCACCCACAGAGGACACAAGUGCAAUUUGUUCAGGCCAAGGUUUAGCUAGCUGAACCUGUGAGCAUCAAUAUUUCCACACUAGUUAAAAGUGGGCCAACUUUUGCUUGAUGAAAGUUGAAACUAUCCCCCAUCGCUUUAACAAUUGGAAUACUGCUCACAGCUAUUGUAACAAACGUCAGGGAAACAUGUUUUAAAGCAUUUCUACUUGUACCAGUAGAAGAAGAGGUUUCCCAGACAAAGUGAGCUCAAGAUAGAUGGCAGUGCAGGUACAAACACCAUCUUGUCCCACCAUUACCCAAUUAUUAAAGCCACAAGACAGGAUCUCGGAGGAUGCAGAUGCAGUACCCAUCAUCAUUUUACCAGGCUUCUUUUACUACUAGUACCAGUAGUACAAUCCUUUUUACUAAUGGGUAUCUGUAGCUUUCUGGAUCAGGUAACUAACUUUACGGCACACUAUCUGAACAUAUAAUCAAACACGCACUAAAACAGUGUUGUUGACACCCAAGCUCACUUUUAUAUUAAUCAUUUCUGUAAUGCAAAAGGAUUAACAAGAAGGAGCACUAACGGAACAGCAAAGGAAGGAAACGCAAAAACACCGGGAGAGCAGAGACAAGAUGAUGCAUCAGCAGAUACAGAGUUGACCAUCUUGAAGUGAGUGUUAUCCAGGAUGAAAAAGGAGGGUAGAAAAGGGGAGUGAGGAAAAAGGAAAAGGCAUAGAAAUCGAAAGGGAUUACACCCACUUAACACAAAAAAAGGGGGAGAAGGAAGAAGGAAAGAAAAGUUAAACGCGCGUUCAUUAUCGUGCACGAUAAUUAAACAGGCACCAACCAAACAGGCGCAGAGACAGGAUUCCUCCACAUAAAAAAGUUGGUUUGCCACCCAGACCACCCCCACAGGAUUAUUCUAAUUCCAGCGCAGCGCACAUGCACAGUGCUGCUUAUGCAAGAUUGACAUCGCAAUGCAAUCCAAAGCCUCUAAUUGUAUGUGUCCUUGGUGACGGACUCGCAAUUUUUUUUGUAAGCAAGAUAACAAUAAGUGUAUCAUGGUACUACUAGAAAGAUGAGUGACAGAGACAUAGCAACCAACAGUCACAGGCAGGCAGAUGGAGAUUCAACAUUCUUGUUUAUGUGUUUUCUCCUUGCUUAUUUUGUCCAUUCAUUCACUCAUUCAUGGUGAUAAUUUAACACAUGAAACAACCCAUACAUACAUGCAUACAUACAGAAGAGCCGAGCUACCAGCCUACCAACAGUUACUUAUUAUUAUUCUCCCCAAGCACUAAUCCAAUCCAGAGAUCAACACAAAAGAACAAUAACAAGAGGAAGAAAAAUCUGGACAAGGCCUAAAGAGCUACAGCAGCAGCAAGCAGACAGGAAACAGGUGAGACGACUUACAUUACAGGCAGCCUUGUUUUGGUCAGGUAAAUUUCUUUUGUUCAUUUCUUGGCACGGCAUUGCAGCAGCAGUUGCACACUUGAUUGACACCAGUUGUGACUUGUGCAGGCAAAGCAAGCAGGCCUUUGUUUUCUUCUUUCUUUUUGUUUCUUGGAGUGGCACACCGAUGCAACGAAGCGAGGAAGGAAAUCCACAAAUGAAUUUGGAGAUCUCCACACUGACUGAGACUAGAAAUCACACAGGCAAGGACAAUACAGUUCCCCUGAUUACUUCAAGGCAAGAGAUUUUUUUUCCCUCUUGCUGCUGGUGGAGUUAUGGUGCACAGCAGGGGAUGGGAUGGUGCAUGGAUGACAAGGAUGAUGAGAGAAGCAGACACCUAACCUAAUGAGCGGCUAAAGCUCCCUAUGCCAACCGAACUGAGCAAGAAGCAAAGAGCACAGCACAGCAUAGAGUUAGGAUUUGCACUGAAAUCAAGCAGGUCUGAAUUUUGCUGAGCACAAGUAAUAUUUGCUCUUGCUCCAUCAAUUCGGACGAACCCUAGAAAUCAAAGGGAUAAAAAGAAAAAGAAAAAAGGCAAGCAAUUUGGGAAGCAACGUGAGUGGCGACUGACUUGAGUGGGAGUGACACGCAGCUAGAGCACCAGCAGCCAGACGAAGAAGAAGAAGAAGACGGGAUGGAAUCAAACCCUAAGCCCUAAAUUAAACCCUAGUGAGUGGACUUAGCGGGCGCUUUCCUCCUCGGCACGACCCGUGGGCGCCGGCCCGGCGCCGCCUGGGCCGCCGGAGAAGGAGGCGAGAAGGUUGAGGUUUCCCUGUGCCAUGGGUAGGUAGUUGCCGACCCUGGCAGCCGACGCCUCCCCCG